GAUGAACGCUGGCGGCGUGCCUAAUACAUGCGAGUCGAGCGAACAGACGAGGAGCUUGCUCCUCUGACGUUAGCGGCGGACGGGUGAGUAACACGUGGAUAACCUACCUAUAAGACUGGGAUAACUUCGGGAAACCGGAGCUAAUACCGGAUAAUAUAUUGAACCGCAUGGUUUAAUAGUGAAAGACGGUUUUGCUGUCACUUAUAGAUGGAUCCGCGCCGCAUUAGCUAGUUGGUAAGGUAACGGCUUACCAAGGCAACGAUGCGUAGCCGACCUGAGAGGGUGAUCGGCCACACGGGAACUGAGACACGGUCCAGACUCCUACGGGAGGCAGCAGUAGGGAAUCUUCCGCAAUGGGCGAAAGCCUGACGGAGCAACGCCGCGUGAGUGAUGAAGGUCUUCGGAUCGUAAAACUCUGUUAUUAGGGAAGAACAAAUGUGUAAGUAACUAUGCACGUCUUGACGGUACCUAAUCAGAAAGCCACGGCUAACUACGUG
rnacentral:rRNA from 1 species